rnacentral:pre_miRNA from 1 species
UAGAGGAACAACCCCAGUGGUUGCGGCAGCUCUGGAAACCUGAAUUCAGCUCCCACAGUAACUACGGAGCUCUGGGUCUGCAGGGCCUGGAGUCUCUGGGGCGGG